UGCACGCUGGCGGCGUGCCUAAUACAUGCAAGUCGAGCGACCAGAUGAGGAGCUUGCUCCUCUGACGUUAGCGGCGGACGGGUGAGUAACACGUGGAUAACCUACCUAUAAGACUGGGAUAACUUCGGGAAACCGGAGCUAAUACCGGAUAAUAUAUUGAACCGCAUGGUUCAAUAGUGAAAGACGGUUUUGCUGUCACUUAUAGAUGGAUCCGCGCCGCAUUAGCUAGUUGGUAAGGUAACGGCUUACCAAGGCAACGAUGCGUAGCCGACCUGAGAGGGUGAUCGGCCACACUGGAACUGAGACACGGUCCAGACUCCUACGGGAGGCAGCAGUAGGGAAUCUUCCGCAAUGGGCGAAAGCCUGACGGAGCAACGCCGCGUGAGUGAUGAAGGUCUUCGGAUCGUAAAACUCUGUUAUUAGGGAAGAACAAAUGUGUAAGUAACUAUGCACGUCUUGACGGUACCUAAUCAGAAAGCCACGGCUAACUACGUG
rnacentral:rRNA from 1 species